GAGCCGCUUGGCGUAGUGGUUAAGUGCUUGCAUUGCCACUUACACGGUCAGGAGUUCGAGCCCCCUGUGGGUCA
rnacentral:tRNA from 1 species